GAAUGUUAACAUUUGCACCUUCUGACUUAAUACUGUAUAUUUCUUUAGAGUCAUCAAUCUCAUGAGAGUCAUCUUGCCAUCUGUACCAGCAUUGCUCCAGGCUUCCAUAUGAAAGUCCAAUCUGGCGGUAUAAAUACUGGAUAAUGAAGACACUGGCAGAGUCUUUACACUGCACACCACUGCUGACCCGAGAAAUGACCCACAGGAACUACUGGCAAAAGGAGCAAAAAGGAUAACUGCAGACUGACCAUGGUAUAGAAACAGUAACUGACCUACAGUAACUGUCAGCUGAAGAAAUGAGUUGAUGGGAACCUCAUGAAGUUCAGCGAAGGCGAAUACCACAUGCUGAGACA
rnacentral:lncRNA from 1 species